GUUUUAAUUAAACUGUCGUUCCCUUCAUCUCUUUUAACCACAGAGAUGCGUUAGAAGUUCUUCUAAUACAAUUUAUACAACGCCAUUCCCUACACACUCUUAUAAAAGAGAUUCACGCGCGUCAAUAAAUUGUAUUACAUACUAACUAAAAAGCUUUUCUUAAUCGUACUAACGAAGUUAGAGGUUCUUAUGUGAUUGGACAACUGUUCUCCCUACUAGACUUUUAGCAUAGCUGGUUAAAAGUACUAUUACAGAUUGUUCAAUUGUAUGCCCCUUUCCUUUGAACGGAAUAUUAAAAGCUAUGUGCAGUAACUUUUAAUAGGCAUACCACUUUUGCAUCAAGCUAUAAAUAAUCGCAUACUUUGAUAUUUAAUCUGGCCUAUCAAAGUAAACAUCUAUGGUUUCCUCCCCCCAUAGAUCCUUAAGCCACACUCAUCCGAUGUCAUAUGAGUGUGGCUAUU
rnacentral:sRNA from 1 species